rnacentral:misc_RNA from 1 species
CUCGAUUCAAAGUGCUCAGGCUUCUUCAAUUCGUCUUUCCUCUGAUCCUAAACAGGUUUAUAAAUCAUGAAUGAAGGUGGUUAUACUGUAGAAGUUACAGGCCUCUCUCCCAAAGCUACUGAGAAGGAUCUUCAUGAUUUUUUCUCCUUCUCUGGUGCAAUUGAACAUGUUGAGAUUGUUAGAUCUGGUGAAUUUGCCUGUACUGGAUACGUGACAUUCAAAGAUGCCUAUGGUCAAGAGACGGCUGUCUUACUCAGUGGUGCUACAAUCAUGGAUCAACGGGUAUGCAUAACCCGCUGGGGGCACUAUGUAGAUGAAUUUGAUCUUUGGAACAGGCCUUCAUCAAGGGCAGAAGAUGAAACUGAAUCAACUCCCCCACAAAGAAGUGUUCCUAGUGCUGGAGAAGCAGUAACAGCGGCACAGGAAGUGGUCAAAACUAUGCUGGCCAAGGGAUAUGUGUUGGGAAAAGAUGCAUUAAGCAAGGCAAAAGCUUAUGAUGAAUCUCAUCAAGUUACUGCUACUGCAGCAGCUAAGGUUGCCGAGCUGACUGAGAGAAUUGGCCUUGCUGAUAAAAUUUUUGCUGGCAUGGAAGCUGUUAAAGCUGUGGAUCAGAAGUACCAUGUCUCUGAAAUGACCAAAUCAGCUGUAUCAGCAACAGGAAGAACAGCUGCUGCAGCAGCAGACACUGUGGUAAACAGUAGCUACUUCUCUAAGGGAGCUCUUUGGAUGUCGGAUGCUUUGAAUCGGGCAGCCAAAGUUGCUGCUGAUUUGGGUAGUCGGGGUGUUCAGCAAUGAGGCUUUGGUGUCCAACUUAGGUGCAGCUUUUGAUACUGUAUAUCGUAUGUAGUGUGUAACUAGUUGAUAGUUUU